rnacentral:lncRNA from 1 species
UUAAAGACUUCUCAGGGGCUGGGGUUGUAGCUCCGUGGUAGAGCACUUGCCUAGCUUGUGUGAGGCACUGGAUUUGAUUUUCAGCACCACAUUUAAAAAAAAUAAGUAAAAUAAAGGUAUUGUGUCCAUUUACAACUAAAAAAAGUUUUAACAACUAUCUCUCACUAAAAAAAAAAAUCAAGUCUUUCUUGUUGCCUCUUCAAAAGUUAGAGCUGACCUGGCUAUAUCCAAAUAAUAUAUACACUUGUGGACAAGUUGUGAGGUCUCCAGGUCUCUAGUCUUUACCAUAUCCUAACGUCUUUUACUUAUUCCAUUCCACUCAUUUGUAUUAUCUGGGGUCAUUUGAGAUCAGAGAUAUUUAAUGUUAGUGUAAACCUGUGUCUCAGAAGCCACUGGGCAGCUGGAUUGGAGCAAAAAGUCUGGAAAACUGAAAAUUUCUCAACUUUAGAUAUUAUUUAUAAAUGAAAUAGGAAAGAGGGGUUCUAUUAGAGUGUUUCUGUAUGAAACAGACAUAGAAACAAAUAAGAAUUCCAUGUUGAGGAAACACAAGUGCAUUUUUGGUAGAAAGAUUCUCUCUGGAAGACAACUGAGUUUUCCAACUUCAUGUAUACUUGUCUUUCCUCUUGAAAUGGAUACAUAUCUUAGAUCUUAUGAAAUCAGGCAUAAGUGAGCAAGUUUCUUUGCCACUCUGAAGACUUAGUAAUACUGAUAGACAGCAUGGACAAGCUUAAGGUAUAAAUAAAAGAAAAGAGACCCGGCACAGCCUUUUUCCUGCCUUUUGUAUCUACUUCCAGACUUUCCUGAUGCUUAGCACUGCCCAGAUCUCUACUGUAUUGGUUAGUUUUUGUUGCUAUAACAUAAUACAUGAGGUAGGUUAGUUUUAUAAAUAAGAGGGCUCACAGUUUUGGAGAUUCAAAGUCCAAGAUCAGGAGCUCCAUUAGUUCAGCUUCUGGUAAGAGCCUAAUGGCAGACAGCAUCAUAUAAUGGUGGGAAAAUAUGCAUGAACAAGUGAUUAUGUCACCAAACAGGAAGAUGGAGAGAUGGAGAAAGAGAGCAGAGGAGAAAGAAUGAGAACUAAAGGAGAGAGAAGAUAAAACAGAAGGGAUGAGCAUGGGAGGUCUAAUACCAGUUGUUCAGAGCUAUUUUAAGAGUCAUUUUCUUUCUGGACUGUCAUUGUUAAUUAAUCCACCAGGUGGUGCUCUGAAAUACCAAAUAAACUUCAGUCCUUAAUUUAAAAAAUGAUGUUGCUUGGAACUUUCAG